rnacentral:tRNA from 1 species
GCCUGGGUGGCUCGGUCGGUUGGGCAUCCGACUGUGGCUCAGGUCAUGAUUUCACCAUUCGUGGGUUCAAGCCCCACACCUGGCU